rnacentral:rRNA from 1 species
AUUGAACGCUGGCGGCAUGCUUAACGCAUGCAAGUCGAACGGUAGCAGGCCUCGUACUUGUACGGGGUGCUGACGAGUGGCGGACGGGUGAGAAACGCGUAAGAAUCUGCCUUAUAAUGGGGGACAACCUUGGGAAACUAAGGCUAAUACCGCAUAAGCCCGAGAGGGGAAAGGCCGAAAGGUCGUUAUAAGAUGAGCUUGCGUCAGAUUAGCUAGUUGGUGGGGUAAAGGCCUACCAAGGCGAACAUCUGUAGCUGUUCUGAGAGGAAGAGCAGCCACACUGGGACUGAGACACGGCCCAGACUCCUCAGGGAGGCAGCAGUGGGUAAUAUUGGACAAUGGGCGAAAGCCUGAUCCAGCAAUGCCGCGUGUGUGAAGAAGGCCUUCGGGUCGUAAAGCUCUGUUGUUAGGGAAGAACAAGUGCUAGUUAAAUAAGCUGGCACCUUGACGGUACCUAACCAGAAAGCCACGGCUAACUACGUGCCAGCAGCCGCCGCGGUAA